rnacentral:rRNA from 1 species
CCUACGGGUGGCAGCAGUGGGGAAUAUUGGGCAAUGGGCGCAAGCCUGACCCAGCAACGCCGCGUGAAGGAAGAAGGCUUUCGGGUUGUAAACUUCUUUUGUUAGGGAAGAGUAGAAGACGGUACCUGACUUAUAAGCUACGGCUAACUACGGGCCAGCAGCCGCGGUAAUACGUAGGUCGCAAGCGUUGGCCGGAUUUACUGGGUGUAAAGGGCAAGUAGCCGGGUUGUCAAGUCAGAUGUGAAAGCCUGCGGCUUAACCGGAGAAUUGCAUUUGAAACUGGUGGUCUUGAGUACUGGAGAGGCAGGUGGAAUUCCUGGUGUAGCGGUGAAAGGCGUAGAUAUUAGGAGGAACACCGAGGGCGAAGGCAGUCUGCUGGACAGCAACUGACGGUGAGGCGCGAAAGCGUGGGGAGCAAACAGGAUUAGAUACCCUUGUAGUC